rnacentral:rRNA from 1 species
AGCAGCCGCGGUAAUUCCAGCUCCAAUAGCGUAUAUUAAAGUUGUUGCAGUUGAAAAGCUCGUAGUUGAAUUUCGGGAUCAAUGUUUCGGUCAUGCCCUUGGUAUGUACUGAUAUUAUUGGUUUCUCACCUUCUAAAGAACCGUAAUGCCAUUAAUUUGGUGUCACGGGGAAUUAGGACUGUUACCUUGAAAAAAUUAGAGUGUUUAAAGCAGGCUCACGCUUGAAUACAUUAGCAUGGAAUAAUGAAAUAGGACAUCCGAUUCUAUUUUGUUGGUUUCUAGGAUCGAUGUAAUGAUUAAUAGGGAUAGUUGGGGGCAUUAGUAUUCAAUUGUCAGAGGUGAAAUUCUUGGAUUUAUUGAAGACUAACUACUGCGAAAGCAUUUGCCAAGGAUGUUUUCAUUAAUCAAGAACGAAAGUUAGGGGAUCGAAGACGAUCAGAUACCGUCGUAGUCUUAACCAUAAACUAUGCCGACUAGGGAUCGGAUGAUGUUAAUUUUUUAAUGACUCA